UGACAUUAACAGCAGUGGAAGUAGUCAGA
rnacentral:piRNA from 1 species